rnacentral:tRNA from 1 species
UCUCGAUUGGUCUAGUGGUAAGGAUACCUGCUUGUCAAGGAACAGUCCGCAGGUGGCCGGGGUUCGAUUCCCCGAUCGAGAG